GGCAAGAUGGCCGAGCACGGUCAUGGCGCUACGUUCAGGUCGUAGUGGAGAAAUCCGCCUGGGUUCAAAUCCCAGUCUUGUCA
rnacentral:tRNA from 1 species